rnacentral:rRNA from 1 species
UACGUAGGGUGCGAGCGUUGUCCGGAAUUACUGGGCGUAAAGAGCUCGUAGGCGGCUUGUCGCGUUGUUCGUGAAAAUUUACCGCUCAACGGUGAACUUGCGGGCGAUACGGGCAGGCUAGAGUACUGCAGGGGAGACUGGAAUUCCUGGUGUAGCGGUGAAAUGCGCAGAUAUCGGGAGGAACACCGGUGGCGAAGGCGGUUCUCUGGGCCUGUACUGACGCUGAGGAGCGAAAGCGUGGGGAGCAAACAGG